CGACUCUCGGCAACGGAUAUCUCGGCUCUCGCAUCGAUGAAGAACGUAGCGAAAUGCGAUACUUGGUGUGAAUUGCAGAAUCCCGUGAACCAUCGAGUCUUUGAACGCAAGUUGCGCCCGAAUCCCUCGUGGCCAGGGCACGUCUGUCUGGGCGUCACGCA
rnacentral:rRNA from 1 species